GGGGGGGGCAAGCGUUUGUUCGGAAUUACUGGGCGUAAAGGGCGCGUAGGCGGUUUGGCAAGUCUCUCGUGAAAUCCCAUGGCUCAACUGUGGAACUGCGGGAGAUACUGCCGGACUUGAGUCCGGGAGAGGGGAGUGGAAUUCCCAGUGUAGCGGUGAAAUGCGUAGAUAUUGGGAGGAACACCGGUGGCGAAGGCGGCUCCCUGGACCGGUACUGACGCUGAGGCGCGAAAGCUAGGGGAGCAAACGGGAUUAGAUACCCCGGUAGUCCUAGCUGUAAACGAUGAGCACUUGGUGUGGCGGGUAUCGACCCCCUGCCGUGCCGGAGCUAACGCAUUAAGUGCUCCGCCUGGGGAGUACGGUCGCAAGGCUG
rnacentral:rRNA from 1 species